rnacentral:rRNA from 1 species
AACGUAGGAGGCAAGCGUUAUCCGGAUUCACUGGGCGUAAAGCGCGUGCAGGCGGUUCGGUAAGUUGGGCGUGAAAUCUCCUGGCUUAACUAGGAGAGGUCGUCCAAUACUACCGGGCUCGAGAGUGGUAGAGGAAAAUGGAAUUCCCGGUGUAGUGGUGAAAUGCGUAGAUAUCGGGAGGAACACCAGUGGCGAAGGCGAUUUUCUAGACCAUUUCUGACGCUCAGACGCGAAAGCUAGGGUAGUAAACGGG